GUAGGUGGCAAGCGUUGUCCGGAAUUAUUGGGCGUAAAGCGCGCGCAGGCGGUUCUUUAAGUCUGAUGUGAAAGCCCACGGCUCAACCGUGGAGGGACAUUGGAAACUGGAGAACUUGAGUACAGAAGAGGAAAGCGGAAUUCCACGUGUAGCGGUGAAAUGCGUAGAGAUGUGGAGGAACACCAGUGGCGAAGGCGGCUUUCUGGUCUGUAACUGACGCUGAGGCGCGAAAGCGUGGGGAGCAAACAGGAUUAGAUACCCUGGUAGUCCACGCCGUAAACGAUGAGUGCUAAGUGUUAGGGGGGUUUUCCGCCCCCCUUAGUGCUGCAGCUAACGCAUUAAGCACUCCGCCUGGGAGUACGGCCGCAAGGCUG
rnacentral:rRNA from 1 species